rfam:Gossypium hirsutum cultivar TM-1 chromosome 14, whole genome shotgun sequence
AAAUAAAAAUUCUAUCUAUUUUACUGUUAAAAACUGACGUGACCGAAAUAACUAGACAGUGACACAUGGUGUGAUACAUGUACCUCAUGUUGAUUUAUAGAGACUAGUUUUUAAUAGUAAAAAUAAAUGAAAAUUUUAACA